UACGGAGGGUGCAAGCGUUAUCCGGAUUCACUGGGUUUAAAGGGUGCGUAGGUGGGCAGGUAAGUCAGUGGUGAAAUCUCUGGGCUUAACCCGGAAACUGCCAUUGACACUAUCUGUCUUGAAUACCGUGGAGGUUAGCGGAAUAUGUCAUGUAGCGGUGAAAUGCUUAGAUAUGACAUAGAACACCAAUUGCGAAGGCAGCUGGCUACACGAAUAUUGACACUGAUGCACGAAAGCGUGGGGAUCAAACAGG
rnacentral:rRNA from 1 species